AACGAACGCUGGCGGCAUGCCUAAUACAUGCAAGUCGAACGAGACCUUCGGGUCUAGUGGCGCACGGGUGCGUAACGCGUGGGAAUCUGCCCUUGGGUUCGGAAUAACAGUUGGAAACGACUGCUAAUACCGGAUGAUGACGAAAGUCCAAAGAUUUAUCGCCCAGGGAUGAGCCCACGUAGGAUUAGCUAGUUGGUGAG
rnacentral:rRNA from 1 species